GAUGAACGCUGGCGGCGUGCCUAAUACAUGCAAGUCGAGCGAACAGAUGAGGAGCUUGCUCCUCUGACGUUAGCGGCGGACGGGUGAGUAACACGUGGAUAACCUACCUAUAAGACUGGGAUAACUUCGGGAAACCGGAGCUAAUACCGGAUAAUAUAUUGAACCGCAUGGUUCAAUAGUGAAAGACGGUUUUGCUGUCACUUAUAGAUGGAUCCGCGCCGCAUUAGCUAGUUGGUAAGGUAACGGCUUACCAAGGCAACGAUGCGUAGCCGACCUGAGAGGGGUAUCGGCCACACUGGAACUGAGACCCGGUCCAACCUCCUACGGGAGGCAGCAGUAGGGAAUCUUCCGAAAGGGGCGAAAGCUUGACGGAGCAACGCCGCGGGAGUGAUGAAGGUCUUCGGAUCGUAAACCUCUUUUAUUAGGGAAGAAAAAAUGUGUAAGAAAAUAUGCCCGUCUUGACGGUACCUAAUCAAAAAGCCACGGCGAACUACGU
rnacentral:rRNA from 1 species